GAACAAGGUUUCCGUAGGUGAACCUGCGGAAGGAUCAUUUUCGAAACCUGCAAAGCAGACCGCGAACACGUUCCGCUACGCUCGGGGAGAGCGGCGCGGGGGGCGACCCCCCGUCGUGACCCUUCCCCGCCGGCGCUUGCGCGAGCUUGCGCCGUGCGGGCUAACGAAUCCCGGCGCGGCAUGCGCCAAGGAAAACUCAACGAAGCGCUUGCCUCCCGUCGCCUCCGUACGCGGAACGCGCCGGGGGAGCACGCGUCUCUUGAAUGUCACGACGACUCUCGGCAACGGAUAUCUCGGCUCUCGCAUCGAUGAAGAACGUAGCGAAAUGCGAUACUUGGUGUGAAUUGCAGAAUCCCGUGAACCAUCGAGUCUUUGAACGCAAGUUGCGCCCGAAGCCAUUAGGCCGAGGGCACGUCUGCCUGGGCGUCUCGCAUCGCGUCGCCCCCCCUCCGCUCGCCCCGCGCGAGCGGUUGCCGGGGAGCGGAUGUUGGCCUCCCGUGCGCUCCCGCGCGCGGCCGGCCCAAAUGAGAACCCGCGGCGAUGCACGUCACGACCAGUGGUGGUUGGAACCUCAACUCGCGUGCUGUCGUGCUGGACGUCGUCGUCCCCGGGGAGCAUCGGUGACCCAAAGGCGCUUGCUCGCGUGCUUCGGCUUCGCGCGCGCCGCGCUUCCGACCGCGACCCCAGGUCAGGCG
rnacentral:rRNA from 1 species